GSKKGCSGAWGCUUAMCAUGCAAGUCGAACGGACCUUUUCGGAGGUUAGUGGCGGACGGGUGAGUAACGCGUGAGGAUCUGGCUUCAGGAUGGGGAUAACAUUGGGAAACUGAUGCUAAUACCCGAUAUGGCGAGAGCUGAAAGAUUUAUCGCCUGAAGAUGAACUCGCGUCCGAUUAGCUAGUUGGAGUGGUAAUGGCACCCCAAGGCGACGAUCGGUAGCUGGUCUGAGAGGAUGAUCAGCCACACUGGGACUGAGACACGGCCCAGACUCCUACGGGAGGCAGCAGUGGGGAAUUUUCCGCAAUGGGCGCAAGCCUGACGGAGCAAUACCGCGUGCGGGAGGACGGCCUUUGGGUUGUAAACCGCUUUUCUCAGGGAAGAAGAUCUGACGGUACCUGAGGAAUCAGCAUCGGCUAACUCCGUGCCAGCAGCCGCGGUAAUACGGAGGAUGCAAGCGUUAUCCGGAAUUAUUGGGCGUAAAGCGUCCGCAGGUGGUUAAUCAAGUCUGCUGUUAAAGCGUGGAGCUUAACUCCAUAUAGGCGGUGGAAACUGAUGAACUAGAGUACGGUAGGGGUCACGGGAAUUCCCAGUGUAGCGGUGAAAUGCGUAGAUAUUGGGAAGAACACCAGCGGCGAAAGCGCGUGACUGGGCCGUCACUGACACUCAUGGACGAAAGCUAGGGGAGCGAAAGGGAUUAGAUACCCCUGUAGUCCUAGCUGKAAACGAUGGACACUAGGUGUUGCCCGUAUCGACCCGAGCCGKGSCGAAGCCAAA
rnacentral:rRNA from 1 species